GCAAGUCUGGUGCCAGCAGCCGCGGUAAUUCCAGCUCCAAUAGCGUAUAUUAAAGUUGUUGCAGUUAAAAAGCUCGUAGUUGAAUUUCGGGAUCAAUAUUUCGGUCAUGCCGUUGGUAUGCACUGUUAUCAUUGAUUUCUCACCUUCUAAAGAACCAUAAUGCCAUUAAUUUGGUGUUACGGGGAAUUAGGACUGUUACCUUGAAAAAAUUAGAGUGUUUAAAGCAGGCUCACGCUUGAAUACAUUAGCAUGGAAUAAUGAAAUAGGACAUCCGAUUCUAUUUUGUUGGUUUCUAGGAUCGAUGUAAUGAUUAAUAGGGAUAGUUGGGGGCAUUAGUAUUCAAUUGUCAGAGGUGAAAUUCUUGGAUUUAUUGAAGACUAACUACUGCGAAAGCAUUUGCCAAGGAUGUUUUCAUUAAUCAAGAACGAAAGUUAGGGGAUCGAAGACGAUCAGAUACCGUCGUAGUCUUAACCAUAAACUAUGCCGACUAGGGAUCGGAUGAUGUUAAUUUUUUAAUGACUCAUUCGGCGCCUUACGGGAAAC
rnacentral:rRNA from 1 species